rnacentral:rRNA from 1 species
GGCGGACGGGUGAGUAAUGCUUGGGAACAUGCCUUGAGGUGGGGGACAACAGUUGGAAACGACUGCUAAUACCGCAUAAUGUCUACGGACCAAAGGGGGCUUCGGCUCUCGCCUUUAGAUUGGCCCAAGUGGGAUUAGCUAGUUGGUGAGGUAAUGGCUCACCAAGGCGACGAUCCCUAGCUGGUUUGAGAGGAUGAACAGCCACACUGGGACUGAGACACGGCCCAGACUCCUACGGGAGGCAGCAGUGGGGAAUAUUGCACAAUGGGCGCAAGCCUGAUGCAGCCAUGCCGCGUGUGUGAAGAAGGCCUCCGGGUUGUAAAGCACUUUCAGUCAGGAGGAAAGGUUAGUAGUUAAUACCUGCUAGCUGUGACGUUACUGACAGAAGAAGCACCGGCUAACUCCGUGCCAGCAGCCGCGGUAAUACGGAGGGUGCGAGCGUUAAUCGGAAUUACUGGGCGUAAAGCGUAC